rnacentral:rRNA from 1 species
UACAGGGGGUGCAAACGUUGCUCGGAAUCAUUGGGCGUAAAGCGCACGUAGGCGGUCUGUUAUGUCGGAUGUGAAAGCCCUCGGCUCAACUGAGGAAGUGCAUCCGAAACUGGCAGGCUAGAGUACUAAAGAGGGUCGCGGAAUUCCCGGUGUAGAGGUGAAAUUCGUAGAUAUCGGGAGGAACACCGGUGGCGAAAGCGGCAAACUUGACCCUUCCUGACGCUGAGGCGCGAAAGCUAGGGGAGCAAACGGG